UAGGCGGAGAUGCAAGUUGGGAGUGAAAUCCCGGGGCUCAACCCCGGAACUGCUUUCAAAACUGUAUCCCUUGAGUGUCGGAGAGGCAAGCGGAAUUCCUAGUGUAGCGGUGAAAUGCGUAGAUAUUAGGAGGAACACCAGUGGCGAAGGCGGCUUGCUGGACGAUAACUGACGCUGANGCGCGAAAGCGUGGGGAGCAAACAGGAUUAGAUACCCUGGUAGUCCACGCUGUAAACGAUGAAUACUAGGUGUGGGAGGACUGACCCNUUCCGUGCCNCAGUUAACACAAUAAGUAUUCCACCUGGGGAGUACNACCGCAAGGUNGAACUCAAAGGAAUUGACGGGGGCCCNCCCAACCAUU
rnacentral:rRNA from 1 species